AAUGACAGGCUGUUGCUGGCUACUCCUACUGAAAUAAAUCCUAGACAGAAGAAAGGAGUUGAAAUUAGGAAAUGUCUUAUAAGACUUCUUGAACCUCUUCUCAUUGGAUUUGCCAUAAUGCAACAACACUUUGAGCAAAAAGUGGACCUUUCUGAGAUACUAUAUCAAAUAACGUCUAGGUUUGACAGCUUGCGUAUAACUCCACGAUCACUCGACAUAGUCGCAAGAAGUCCUCCUGUUUGUGGGGAUUUAGCCAUAUCACUCUCCCAAUCAGGUCCACAAUUCACACAGGUCUUGAGGGGUAUAUAUGCAAUUAAAGCCCUCCGAUUUUCUACGGCUCUAUCAGUCUUGAAGGAUGAGUUUUUGCGUUCGAUAAAUUAUCCCAAAUGCCCUCCAACUUCUCAUUUGGUCCAUCGUUUUCGACAAUUGGGAUAUGCCUGUA